AGACAUGUUUACUUCCGGUAGCAGUAGCGCGGCUCUUUCAGCUCUAACCCUCUGGAUCUCAGCUCUCUCAGAGCGGCGGCGUUCCUGCACAAACAUGAGGUAAAUAAGCUCCUCCUCGUCCUUCUUUCUCUGCUCAAAAUGUGCAUCGAUCAGAGUGUGGAGCUCCAGCAUGUCCUUCUCCAUGCGCUUCCGGUGGAUGUCCUGUCACCAAAGUUUGAAAAAGACUGAUGUCUUCUCUCCACGCACUUCUCAAAACAGCGGCCGGCUCCGCCUCCUCCUGCGGCUCAGGCUCAGCCUCCUCUACCUCAACUUCUGGAAGAAAAUCCACAGCGGAGUGAGGUGUGUGCGUGUGCUCGGGGCUGGGGGCCACAGGCGGAUUAAGCGGAGGCAGAAAGACGAGCACCUCGCAGGAUUAGGGAGAACAGAGGGAUGACCUCACUGGACAAAUAGAGGGGUGCUGUAAAGCAGGUGCUGGCGGGGGAGUCAAAAAAUAAAGACAGAGGGUGUGGCAGAGGAGGGGAGAGAAUCCGGCAGCAACGCUAUGAGGAGGAGGAUUGGAGGGUAAGCUCUCCUCUUCUGGGGGCUAAAACAAAUUCAAACUAUUGGAAUGUUUAUCAGUAAAGAAAGGUUAGCAUUGACUGUACAUGAGAACUGGACUGACACCGAUUUUGCAUUUUAAACAGGAAGUACCCCCAGAGCUGCAGAAGAUGACGUCAUACAGGGUCGUCCACCUCAAGGUGCCGCCAUUUUGCCAGCAACUGGGCCCGCGGAAUUGAAGCGGCUGACUGCUGCAGAUAACUGUUGCGCCCCAGAUUGGACAAAAAGACGUGGAAAAAGCAAAGGAAGAAAGAGUCAUUUUCCAGCGUUCUCAGUCCUGCUACC